CAGCCGCGGUAAUACGGAGGGGGCUAGCGUUGUUCGGAAUUACUGGGCGUAAAGCGCUCGUAGGCGGAUUGGUCAGUCAGAGGUGAAAGCCCAGGGCUCAACCUUGGAAUUGCCUUUGAUACUGCCAGUCUUGAGUUCGGGAGAGGUGAGCGGAAUUCCGAGUGUAGAGGUGAAAUUCGUAGAUAUUCGGUGGAACACCAGUGGCGAAGGCGGCUAACUGGACUGGUACUGACGCUGAGGUGCGAAAGUGUGGGGAGCAAACAGGAUUAGAUACCCUGGUAGUCCACGCCGUAAACGAUGAGUGCUAGUUGUCGGGACUUCGGUUUCGGUGACGCAGCUAACGCAUUAAGCACUCCGCCUGGGGAGUACGGUCGCA
rnacentral:rRNA from 1 species